CAAAACAUAACCUAAAGCGGUGAGUUUCAGGGUAAGCCUAGAGAAGUUCUUAAAUGUCGGCUCACAAAGUAAUAUACAGUGUAAGUCAGUUGACAUGACAGUCAUGAGUCAUGUGACAGCUACGACAAAGGUCGUAGUAGACCAAAGGAUACAGUACACCAAAAUAAGAAGGAAUUUCGAAUUACAGCUUAAUUUGCAACGCUAGGCAUUGCUUAGAUCGGCAAUUUCCUGGCGAAUGGUCGUGCUGGUCUUAUUUCCUGACCAGCUCGCUUUCCGGAUCUGAAUCCAUUCGAUUAUUAGUUCUGAGACAUUAGAAAUCUUUUGUUCAUAAAACUUCAAUCGACAGUGCUGAAAUUCUUCGUCAGCGUGACGACCAAAGUUGCCGACAAAUCCGCGUAAACAUUUAGGACAAUUUCGACGAUAUAUGACGCGAUGCAUUCAUGCUUCUAUGUGAGCUGUAUCUCUGAUCACUUGGAGCAAUUGGUCUGAACAUAGGUAAGCGACCAUUACAAUAUAAAAGAAGCUGUCACUCGAAAACGAGAUCAUAUCAGGUAUAUACGUUCACGCGGACUUUUCUUCUUAUUUUAGUGUGCUGAAGCAGUCGCUGCUGCAUUAAUACACCCUGUGAACAGCUACAUACAUAUGUAUGUGGCCAAUGUUCUCAGUAUGCCUAGCAAUAUGAUCUUUGAUCUUACGAAGUCUACCGGCGCUCGCUGUAUAACAUACAACUGCUGCAUAUGUAACAUAAUUGUAUAACGUGUUACACAGAAGUGUUGUGUAACGCGUCUUUUUUUAAGGCGUUAUACAACUUUGCUGUACAAAGGUCCAAUUGCGCGCAAGCAUGAGCUGAUUCUCUAUGAAAAAGUAAGAAGAAAACGUGGAUAAAAAUACAUAGAACGGUGGCUAAAGCGGAAUAUCCUCAAUAGGAAGGAAAAGGAGGCAGCUAAUUGCAAGUGGAAAAUGCAGAAAAGGAAAGAAAUCGUUUGGUAGAGGAAAAAGGAAAAGCGUGCUAAAUCAGCUUCUGCCGCGCUUCACACAUGUUCUGACUCAUCCUGCGUAACACGAUUGAUAAGCAACUACGAUGAAUUCAAAGCAAGCUACACGUUUAGAUAAAAAAUUAUUCGUUUACAAGCACAUACAUGUUCCUUUUUUGAAAUUAAAAUUAACCGUACAUACAAGGAAUAGUUGAUUUCGGCAGAUACACCGCAAUUAUCUGUCUAGACAGACUCCUAAGUACAAAAUUGUAUUUUCAUUUGUCAUUCACAUUAGUAUAGCGAAGAAAGGAAAGGAAUCGAUUAUUCAGUCGUUCAUGUGAAUAGUUAUGAAUCAUUCUUAUUUUUAUAUACCUACGCUAUGUCACUCGGGACAGUUUAUAAUAAUAGAUUCUAAUAAAUAAAUUUCCUUAGAUUAAAGCGUGAAAAAUUUCUACAUCAGAAGCGAGAAAAUCCGAAGAAAAUCCACUCGGAGUGUAUUUCCUCUAUGUACAUGCAAUGUUUUGUUCUGAAUGAGAAAAUACAUAAAAAAUUUCAAUUCCAAUUCCUUCAUUUCUCUUCACUUCAUAUUGUUCACUCCUUGUAGAAAUUUUAGAAAUAACCUCAAUACAAAUACGAGCGCGUAAUUUACGGAAUUCUUUAAUUUCUUUAAUUAUUCGAACGAAUUCGUUUCAUAGAUUUCUUGCAAAAAAAAAAGGUCAAUUUCGCAUUUUUGAAAAAUAUUUCUAUCCGGAAUGUCACAUUGCCGUUAAAAUGAUUUUUGUACCCGAUAAUUUCCCAUUUGAAUCUCCACAGAAAUUGAACGUGAUAAUUCCCGUGUUUAUUGAACAAGACUUUUCCUUUUAUUUUCGUUUUGCAAAAAAUCUAUAAACCCGUUUGUUAUUCGUGUUUCUCGUAAAAAUUCUACAAUCUAAUUUUUAUGACUUUUCGGUAAAAACUUUUGCAUCUAAUAUGUUUGCAAUUUUUUGCAAAAAUCUGGGAUUACAAUAUUUGCAACGACUCCUGCAAAAUUGUCAAAGGCUAAAAAAUUUAAUAUUCAGCGUUCCCCUCUGAAUA